rnacentral:rRNA from 1 species
AAGAUGGCGACCGGCGCACGGGUGAGUAACACGUAUCCAACCUGCCGAUAACUCCGGAAUAGCCUUUCGAAAGAAAGAUUAAUACCGGAUAGUAUGCGAAUAUCGCAUGAUAUUUUUAUUAAAGAAUUUCGGUUAUCGAUGGGGAUGCGUUCCAUUAGUUUGUUGGCGGGGUAACGGCCCACCAAGACUACGAUGGAUAGGGGUUCUGAGAGGAAGGUCCCCCACAUUGGAACUGAGACACGGUCCAA